UACGGAAGGCAGCAGUGGGGAAUAUUGCACAAUGGGCGAAAGCCUGAUGCAGCUAUGCCGCGUGUAUGAAGAAGGCCUUAGGGUUGUAAAGUACUUUCAUCGGGGAGGAAAAAAACAAAACUAAUAAUUUUAUUUCUUGACGUUACCCGAAAAAGAAGCACCGGCUAACUCCGUGCCAGCAGCCGCGGUAAUACGGAGGGUGCUAGCGUUAAUCAGAAUUACUGGGCGUAAAGAGCACGUAGGUGGUUUUUUUAAAGUCAGAUGUGAAAUCCCUGGGCUUAAACCUAGGAACUGCAUUUUGAAACUGAAAUACUAGAGUAUCGUAGAGGGAGGUAGAAUUCUAGGUGUAGCGGUGAAAUGCGUAGAUAUCUGGAGGAAUACCUGUGGCGAAAGCGGCCUCCUAAACGAAUACUGACACUGAGGUGCGAAAAGCGUGGGGAGCAAAACAGGGAUUAGAUACC
rnacentral:rRNA from 1 species